rnacentral:lncRNA from 1 species
CUGAGCUUGGCAUUGUCUGUGGGAAUGGUUGUGUUGGGAUCCAACAGAUGCCGCGCAAUUAUCUGCUGCAAGGGAAGAGUGGAAGACUUGUCAUCCAUGGGCUCAUCCUUGAUAGCCUCCUGCUCCUGUGCACAUGUUGAAACAUUGAGUACACAUGUGCUCUUCUAGUGAUGGCACAUUUUGGCGUACAUGUGAUGGGAGGAGACAAUACCGUGGGCUCGUCUGUCACAGGACCAAGCGUGGCUUCUUUGUCAGAAAGCAAGCUGCGGCGUGCAGCUGCUCUCUGCGCUACACGAUCUUUCAGGCGGGCUAUCCUCUGCCUAGCUGCGAUGGCCUCAGCCGCAUAUGGGUUUUCAGCCGCCAUAGGCAUCGGCAGACCAUUCAUCAUGGCUGGAUUCAAGCUCCAAGGGUGCAGGAGCUCAGGUACGUUGGGUAUCUCCCGUCAUGUCUAAGAAUUAAGGUGACCAUUCCAAUCCAACAUGGAGCACGCCGCGAGAUAACAACUUUAGUUGACCUGGAAGCUGGAUGAAGUGAAUCGAUCUCGCCCAAGGAAUUUGUGACCAAGCUAAUGGAUCUGAGUGCUUGGUAAACUACGUUGCGAGUACCUGCACUCCGCCUCAGCUUGGUUGUUCAGCUGCUCAAACGCAAAUGACAAUCGUUAAAUUACACAAUCACAAGGUUGUUCAUCAAUUAAGGGUAGAACUUCUCAAUGGAUCACCAAUGUCUGAAAGUUGGUUGAUGUGCAGUGGCGUGGAAAUGCUCAAAGGAGCAGGACACAAAGCAUGCGAAUCAAGCAUCCGCAACUCACCACAUUUGCCUCUUUUGUCUAUGUUUCCUUGCAUAUC